GAAAUGCGAUAAGUAGUGUGAAUUGCAGAAUUCAGUGAAUCAUCGAAUCUUUGAACGCACAUUGCGCCCCUUGGUAUUCCAUGGGGCAUGCCUGUUCGAGCGUCAUCUACACCCUCAAGCUCUGCUUGGUGUUGGGCGUCUUUGUCCCGCCUCCGCGCGCGGACUCACCCCAAAUUCAUUGGCAGCGGUCCUUGCCUCCUCUCGCGCAGCACAUUGCGCUUCUCGAGGUGUUGCGGCCCGCGUCCAGAAAGCAAUCGUUACCGUCUUUGACCUCGGAUCAGGUAGGGAUACCCGCUGAACUUAAGC
rnacentral:misc_RNA from 1 species